UACGUAGGGGGCAAGCGUUAUCCGGAUUUACUGGGUGUAAAGGGAGCGUAGACGGCAAUGCAAGUCUGGAGUGAAAGGCGGGGGCCCAACCCCCGGACUGCUCUGGAAACUGUAUAGCUGGAGUGCAGGAGAGGUAAGUGGAAUUCCUAGUGUAGCGGUGAAAUGCGUAGAUAUUAGGAGGAACACCAGUGGCGAAGGCGGCUUACUGGACUGUAACUGACGUUGAGGCUCGAAAGCGUGGGGAGCAAAUAGG
rnacentral:rRNA from 1 species